rnacentral:rRNA from 1 species
AGACGUGUGCUCUUCCGAUCUGUGAAUGCCUGGCCACCUGGGACUGAAGAAGGACGCACCAAACGGCGAAACGCUGCGGGGAGCUGUAAGGAAGCAAAGAUCCGCAGAUAUCCGAAUGGGGGAACCCGUCAUCCAGGAGGGAUGACACCGGAUACCGAACACAUAGGUAUCACGGGAGGAACUCGGGGAACUGAAACAUCUAAGUACCCGAAGGAAAAGAAAACAAAAGUGAUUUCCUGAGUAGCGGCGAGCGAAAGGGAAGCAGCCCAAACCGUUUUUAGGAACGGGGUUGAAGGACCACGAUAACAUCAAGAGCGAGUCUAGUGGAAUGACAUGGAAAGGUCAGCCGAAGAGGGUGAGGGCCCCGUAGACGAAAGAUGAGCGAAGGUGAGUGGGAUCCUGAGUACGGCAGGACACGAGGAAUCCGGUCGGAAGCAGGCGGGACCAUCCGUCAAGGCUAAAUAUCACCAGGUGAGCGAUAGUGAACAAGUACCGUGAGGGAAAGGUGAAAAGAACCGCGGGAGCGGAGUGAAAGAGAACCUGAAACCGUAUGCCUACAAGAAGUCAGAGCCCGUUAAAGGGUGAUGGCGUGCCUUUUGUAGAAUGAACCGGCGAGUUACGAUAUAGUGCGAGGUUAAGUUGGAGAGACGGAGCCGAAGCGAAAGCGAGUCUUAAUAGGGCGGUAGUAGGAUAUCGUAGACCCGAAACCAGGUGAUCUAGCCAUGACCAGGUUGAAGUUCAGGUGAAACUGAAUGGAGGACCGAACCGACCACCGUUGAAAAGUUGGCGGAUGAGUUGUGGCUAGGGGAGAAAUUCCAAUCGAACCUGGAGAUAGCUGGUUCUCCCCGAAAUAGCUUUAGGGCUAGCGUCGGGCGAUGGGACACGGAGGUAGAGCACUGAACGUACGAUGGCGCCAUCCCGGUGUACUGAGUAUGAUCAAACUGCGAAUGCCGUGUCAGAGGAGCCCGGCAGUCAGACCAUGGGUGAUAAGGUCCGUGGUCGAGAGGGAAACAGCCCAGACCGCCAGAUAAGGUCCCAAAAUACAUGCUAAGUGGAAAAGGAUGUGGGGAUGCACAGACAACUAGGAGGUUGGCUCAGAAGCAGCCACCCUUUAAAGAGUGCGUAACAGCUCACUAGUCGAGUGACCCUGCGCCGAAAAUGUACCGGGGCUAAGCAUGAUACCGAAGCUGCGGAUUCUGAUGAAUGGUAGGGGAGCGUUGCAUGCACGUGGAAGCCGUACCGGAAGGAACGGUGGAGAGCAUGGAAGAGAGAAUGCCGGUGUGAGUAGCGAGAUGCAGGUGAGAAUCCUGCACACCGAAAGCCCAAGGAUUCCAGGGGAAGGUUCGUCCGCCCUGGGUAAGUCGGGACCUAACGCGAGGCCGAAAGGCGUAGUGGAUGGAAAACAGGCAGAUAUUCCUGUACCCGUAAUGCAAGUGAUGGAGUGACGGAGAAGGCUAGUGUGACCCUAUGAAUGGAUUUAGGGCGAAGCGGAGCAGCAGGCUUACAGUGAAAUGCGUAAGCGAGAUGCAGGACGCGAUAGGUAAGCGAACGCGCGAGCAAGUAGCGAAGCACAUGAGGCCAGCUUCCAAGAAAAGCUUCUGGCGCAAAUUGGAUUACGGCCCGUACCAAAACCGACACAGGUGGGCAAGGAGAGUAUCCUAAGGUGAGCGAGAGAACUGUUGCCAAGGAACUCGGCAAAAAUACUCCGUAAGUUCGCGAGAAGGAGUGCUCUUGAGAGAGAGCCGCAGCGAAGAGGCCCAAGCGACUGUUUAACUAAAACACAGCUCUCUGCGAAGUCGCAAGACGAAGUAUAGGGGGUGACGCCUGCCCGGUGCUGGAAGGUUAAGGGGAGGAGUUAUCGAAAGAGAAGCUCUGAACCGAAGCCCCAGUGAACGGCGGCCGUAACAAUAACGGUCCUAAGGUAGCGAAAUUCCUUGUCAGGUAAGUUCUGACCCGCACGAA